rnacentral:rRNA from 1 species
AGCGAACGCUGGCGGCAGGCCUAACACAUGCGAGUCGAGCGCCCUUUCGGGGGAGCGGCGGACGGGUGAGUAACGCGUGGGAAUAUGCCCUUCUCUACGGAAUAGCCUCGGGAAACUGAGAGUAAUACCGUAUACGCCCUGUGGGGGAAAGAUUUAUCGGGGAAGGAUUAGCCCGCGUUGGAUUAGGUAGUUGGUGGGGUAAUGGCCUACCAAGCCGACGAUCCAUAGCUGGUUUGAGAGGAUGAUCAGCCACACUGGGACUGAGACACGGCCCAGACUCCUACGGGAGGCAGCAGUGGGGAAUCUUAGACAAUGGGGGCAACCCUGAUCUAGCCAUGCCGCGUGAGUGAUGAAGGCCUUAGGGUUGUAAAGCUCUUUCAGCUGGGAAGAUAAUGACGGUACCAGCAGAAGAAGCCCCGGCUAACUCCGUG